rnacentral:lncRNA from 1 species
AGAGAGGUGAGUCAUCCAUUCUUCAUGGCACAGCUGUCGCCUUCCUGAAACUCACAUUAGACACGCGCUCAUAGAAUCAAAUGUACCACAUGCAGCCAUUACAGACGGGCACACCAACCCCAGACUGCUGUUGCCAGAUUCCCACGUUGAAAUCCUCACCCGCGUGAAGAUGGUGUUAGGAGGUCAGACCUUUGGAAGGUGAUGAGGUCAUGAGGGUGGAGCCCCAACGAAUGGGAUUAGUGCCCUCAUGAAAGAGACACAAGAGAGAUGAUCUCUUUCCUCCGAUUGAGGACACAGCAGGAAGCCUGCCCGUCUGCAACCAAGAAGCCAGCCUGCAGCAGAAUCUGACGGUGCAGGCGCCCGGAUCUCAGAACUGCCAGCCUGCAGAACUCAGAGGAGAGACAUGUCUGUUGUUUGUAGGUCACCCAGUCAGCGGUUCUUUUUAUAGCAGCCUGAACUGACUAAGACACUUGGGAAGGAUGCUUGCAGAUGUUAGGACUACGCCCACAUGCUAAGAGCACCUGGGAAGGUGAUGGGAUUCCUGUGGGCUCCUUAUCAGGUGGACUCAGGAAGGUGGUGGACUUCCUGUGGGCCCCUCUUCAGAUGUGCCUGGGAGGGGCGGCUGUGGUGUUGAAAGCUCAUUUGGCCAGGGUUGAAUUAGCAGAGUGCAUUGAGAAAUGGAACUCAAGCCCAGUGUGAUCUUCUGGGAAAAGCUGACACCAGAAAACAAAAGAGAGCAAGAGAGAAGACAGUGGGUGAAGUCCUGGUUCCAGACUCCCCUUUUUGCCGGGAUAUGAUGGAUCUGUCAGCUGGUGCCUAGAGUCCUAGAGAGCUAGAGAUGGAGGGAAAUUCAGAUCAUCUAAACCCUUCAGCCCUUCACUGGACAGAAGAGGAAACUGAGGCUCCAUCUGCAUGACGUUCCCAGAGUCACGGCACAAAUUCAUGGAAGAAGCAGCAGGAAACUCAGUUCUCCAGUCUGGGUCCAAUGUGUGUUUUAGAAAUAUCUCCACAGGGUUAAUGACUCAAUUUUUCAUGCAUGAUUGCUAGUAAUGACAAUCAUGUUAUGUUUGUUUCUGUAGCUUUGGAAAUCACUCCUUCCACUUGAGUUUCAGGUCCCAACUGUCCACACCUGCAGGAGUGAGGUUUUGCUGAGACUGAUAAGGCACUCACAUUUUGUGGGAGUUGAAUUGUCUCUGUAGCCUAGAAUCUAGAUUUUUUUCCCUCCUCUGCUCUCAGUGAACGGAGAAUUCCAUCUCGGUACAAUCUGUGAACCAUUCUGCAGUAAGAUUGUCAUCGUCUCAUUCAUACUACCUGGUCGGUAACACAAAGGGCUGUAAUUGAUGUGGUUCAGAGACUCACAUCCAAGCAAUAAAAAUGAAUCCCUUAUGGUGGUCUGCAGCAACGCAAA